GCAAGCUGAGAAACGGCUAGCAAUCUAAGGAAGGCAGCAGGCGCGCAAAUUACGCAAUGACAGUACAAUGUCGACGUAGUGAAGAAAAAUAACGAUGUAGUUCUUAUUUACAAGAUCUACAAUUGGAAUGAGUACACUGUAAAUAUGUUAACGAGUAUCAAUUAGAGGGCAAGUCUGGUGCCAGCAGCCGCGGUAAUUCCAGCUCUAAUAGCGUAUAUUAAAGUUGUUGCGGUUAAAAAGCUCGUAGUUGGAUUUUUGGCUUUGCUCUUAAGUUAGGAUUAUCGUUAAGGUAGGUUUGGCUAUUAACAUGUCUUAUAUUCUAAUUCAUGGGUCACCUACUGAUAUUCUUUCACCUUAAAGCGGCCGUUUCGUCACUUUUAUAAGGUGCGAAACAUGCCUAUUCAAUACGUAUUCUAUACGUCUUGCUUAGGUAAGUUUACCUUGAGAAAAUUAGAGUGCUCAAAGCAGGCGAAUCGUAUGCCGCAAGGUGUGCAUUAAUGCUUGAAUAAUGUUGCAUGGAAUAAUAGAAUAUGGCCUCGGUUCUAUUCUGUUGGUCUUGUAAAACAACAAACAAGUUCGCUAAAUCUAACAAUGUUAUCUGUGGGGUGGCAUUAAUUCUGAUUAUUUUCGCCUAAUAUAUAUUGUAUGUUGCCUCACUCGCAAGGGUAAGUGCCAUCAAUUUUAUUUGGUCUUAAGUAGCCACGAAUCAUGCCCGUUAGAAAAGCUCAACAGUUAGCAAGAUUUGCGAAUCGAGGCAAUGGUUAAGAGGGAUAGACGGGGGCAUUCGUACUGCAUCGCUAGAG
rnacentral:rRNA from 1 species